rnacentral:rRNA from 1 species
UGCCAGCAGCCGCGGUAAUACGGAGGGGGCAAGCGUUGUUCGGAAUUACUGGGCGUAAAGGGCGCGUAGGCGGUAUGCCAUGUCAGGGGUGAAAGCUCGGGGCUCAACCCCGGAAGUGCAUUGGAAACUGGCGAACUUGAGUACGGGAGAGGAAAGUGGAAUUCCGAGUGUAGGGGUGAAAUCCGUAGAUAUUCGGAGGAACACCAGUGGCGAAGGCGGCUUUCUGGACCGAUACUGACGCUGAGACGCGAAAGCGUGGGGAGCAAACAGGAUUAGAUA